AUGUUUCCUUCAGCAACACAUAUACAAAAAUUGUAAUGAUGCAGAGAAGCUCAGCAUGGCCCCUGUGCAAGAAUAAAAUAUAAAUUUGUGAAGUGUUUAUUUUUUCU